rnacentral:lncRNA from 1 species
CUGCUCAGAUCAACACAGCACUGAAUGGUAAGUUUUUAGUUGUUACUGCAUCAAAUGUACCAUUCCUAACUACACAAGAAAUCUGAACUUUUGUGCUGUGACCCAUCAGUAAAACACGCUUUUUGAUCAGCUAAAAAGUACACAUUUGACAUUACUAUAGUGUUUGUGAGUAGCCACUGAACUGUCAAAGUAGGUACUGGUGUGUGAGCAAAAAGUGAAUACUAGUAGUACAUGAUUUCAUACAGUUGAUUACCAGAGGAGACAUUGCAGUGACAAGUACUACUAGUAACAGAGGAUGGAGUUUUGUUUGGCAAUGCUUGUCAAGAUACAAGAAUCAGCAGUUCAGACUGUUUGAGAAGAUAAACACUGUACACCCAGCUUGUUGAGACAAGAACAGCUGGCUGUCCAUGGAAUGCUAACAUGGAUUUUGAGGAACUUGUUUAAUCUGUCCAUAGAGCACCCAGGAACACAAGCUCAAUGCCAAAUCUAAAUUCCAAGCAUGUGCAGACAUAAUCAAUCCUUGUGUAGAUCAAAAGGAGAGGGAGCUAAACUGGUGGGUGCUGAUAUCAUUGCAACUUGCCUGACAUUGCUGAUAUCAUUGCAACUUGCCUGACAGCUAUAGCUAAGACAUUUGGACCUGAUGCCAAUUGGUCAUCGAGCCCAUGUCCAUGUGAUAUAAACAUCAAGAGAGCCAUCGAUUAUCAACCAUGUCAAUAAUUAGAUGCAUAUAGCAUGCUAACAUUGGGACAGGCAAACAAAAGCCUCAGGGCCCUGUUUGGAUAGGGAGGCUUGGGUUCAAAUCUUUUGCUUUUGAUUCAAAUCGAGUUCAAUUUGAACUAAGUACACAAAAAAUAAAAUCCCAGGCAGAUCCAUGUCAUGUUUGUCUAGUACACACACCCUAAGAAUAUCUUUAGGAUGAAAACAAGGCAAUGAAUAUAAUCUGGCGCUAGUAGUCGACUUGAAGAAUUUCCUCCUUAAAGUUAACAAAAAUGCUCUCAAAAUAACUGCAGCAAUGAUGCGCAUUUUAGUUGUGCCUUUUAACAUAUCAUUGAACAAAAGCAAUUAUUCAAGUAAUCAAUGCCAACUGCAGAGGCUGGCUUCAUCCAAUAUAACAUUAACCACGGGAUCUUCUCAUUAAUAUAUUUUUAACAUUUAAAGCAAUAUGACACCACCAAAACAUGCAUCCAAUUCAAUAUCACCUCCUUAUUAAUAUUAGCUAUCUAAAUUUACAAAUUACAUACAUAGGAAAGCACCAUUUGGAAAUAAUUAAUGGUUCAUACUUAGGUAGUACUGGCAUCAGACAAAGAAGUUAAGGAAUAACUCGAGAAAUAAUUCAAUAUCAUUGUAAGUCUAAGGAGUUGGCAAUGCUUUGAAAUGGUGCUGAUUGUUGAUGAUAUAAAUAGGUUUUGUAAUUGUGAGAUCACAAAGGAUAUGCCAAUGGAAAAAUUACCUUAAACAUCGGAGCAAGUUUUCUGCAGCAGAAGCUUCCUGUAUAGCUUCAACAGCAGCCAUUUGUGCUGCAUCCCUGUACUUAAGAAGCUCCUGUGAAAAGUCAGAUCCAAUUAAGGAUUAAAUACAAGGACAUACAAUGAAGCAUUCAACAGGUACAGAGAAAAAUGAUCUCUCAUCCUUCAGUCCUCUAGGUUGAUAGAACUAAAAUGGCAUAGUAAAAUUGCUUGAUGCCUAGGGGAACUGGUUCCCAAUUUUACAUAGGAAAACCGGUUGUCCAUUCGUAGUUUCUUUUUAUGAUAUGUAUUUUUUCAUAAGAUAACCGAAAUUAACAACCUCAAAAUUGGAAAAGGUUUGCAUCGUUAUACCUAUUAUAGCAAACAACCAAGUGAACAUAUGAAUGAGCCAACCUUUGCGAACAUGUGAAUAGGCAUAUUCAUACCUUCCCUAACUUAGCAAGUGAAGGCGGAAGCGCUGUCCAUGAAGUGCUAGAAUCUGUCAACCUUUUGUUGCUUGAAGCAAUCUUCACUAGAUUUGUAAUAUUCGGGUUGCUUAAAACUCCAGAUGUCCUCCUCAUUGGAGAAGAAGGCUUAUUCACUAUUUUAUCAGAAUCAUCUGAAGGAGCACUUGCUGAGCUCUUCCUUGGAGGAGUCUGAAUCUUACUGUCAUCCUUAUGCAACGGCUUCUCUUCUGUCAGUGGUUUGCGUCUUGGAGUCUGAUAACAAAAGAACCAGCAAAGGUUUACUUACUUUGAAGAAAAUUAAUAUGGGUAGUAAAAAGAUCAAACAUGAGUUCAUCUGCCACUAAAAGGCUACAACGUAUUCAGGCGAUAGCUUAAGUUACAUGAUGGAUACUCAAUAAAUUAAACAUGCCACAUUGUUGACAAAUAUAAGUGAUAAGCAUUUAAAAACAUCCACACAUACCGAUGUGCUUCUGUUCUCAGACUUUUUGUCAGCUUUGGCUGCCUUUGAAUCUGAAUUCCCUUUGUUCUUUGCAUCCGCUUUCCCUUCCCAGCUUCUUCUCAGGGCCUUUGGUCCAGAUUCAAUACUUAACACGGUGCUACUAAGCAAGUUACCAGCAGAGGACUUCCUCCCUGCUGUUGUAGCCUUCAAAACAGAAGCAGCUUUCUCUAACAAGGAUAGCCUAGAAGGUGAUGACUUGUCUGCUCCUUUUGUUUUUGUUCUCUGCUUUAUGUCAUUUGAGAAUCUCUCAAAUGAUGCCGGUAGAGAAUAAACACUGGUCGGAGAAGAAGGUGUCGACCUAGCAUUGGUGGGCUUUGCCUUUGAGCUGACUACUUCCUUCUUGUCUAUAAUGCUAUUCAAUGCUUGUUUUGACAGAGAGGAGUUUGAUUUGGUCAGCUGCGGUUUCUUGAUUUCUGUCCCAUUGUUCUUUACUAAAGGUUUAAGUUUCUCCAAUUUGCUCUGCUCUUUUUCUAGUGAUAAAGUACUGGAAUCCUUUGAUCCAUUGAUGGAUUGCUGCGCCUUCUUGCUUCCAAGAAAAGUGGAGUUAGUCACCACAAGAUCCUCUGGAUUUCCAACACAAGCGUGCCGACCUGGAACUGGCCUGACUCCCCUUAAGAUUGGCACCGGAGUGGCUGCCUCAAGACGGUCUACAUGGAUGAACUGUCCCAACUGAAUUGUGUCGCUCAAUAUGAGAUCAUGCUGCUCCUCUGGUAAGGAAACAUAUGUUGCAUGCGAUGAAUCAGACACCUUGAGAUAGAAGCCCUGGUUGGUGAAAAGAUCACUCCCGGCAAGCGCUGGAACAAUGCUGACCACCUGAAGAAGGGAUGAACGGUGCUCGCCAGCAACUUUAACAUCGCUGUUCAUGUGCUGAAGGAGCUUGAGAAGGACCCCAGGUACUAGCGAAGCCAUUGCUGUUGAUUCUAAAGCACAUUACCUGCACAUGUUAAGCACAAUUCAGAAAUCAAAGGGCUUUAAAGAAUUACAGCUUGAAAGUGAGAAAAUGUCUAAUGAGUUAAUGGUCGACAACCUGGGUAAUCCUAACGGAAGUGAAAUCUCCAACUACCAAAUGUCAAUUUAUGUCAUAAAGGUUGCAACUUUACAAGUUUACAGUGAAACUCAAUCCACAGGCUAACAUGUCGGUGGCCCAACCCGUUUUGAGGCUCACAGUGAACAUGGAACCAAUGUAUUUUAUCAGUAGAUGCUACUAGUAACUAGUAAUUUGGGCUGGAAAUUGUCACUGGAAACCAAAGCACAACAAUUUGUUGCUCCAUUUAGGCAUACCAAGCUCAAAGAACACGGAAAGGUGCCAUUAACUAUAACAUUUUAAGUGCAGAAAAGAUAAGACAAGUACACCUAGCUGCCCAACAAUACUAUAUGAAAUGAAGUCAAGCAUUGCAUAAAGAGAGGUGUACCCAAAAUGGUGGCUGCAAGGAGCAAGGACUAAGGGAACAUCUUUUUUUCUUGGAAAUGCAUUUAAUACAAUCCGAAUGAGAUGCUAUAGGAGUACAAGUGAGGUGUUAGCAGAUCCAGUAAGGACCUCAACACAAUCAAAUAGGGUUUCUCCCCAUAAUAGAAUCAACAUGGACCUGUCCCAGAACUAUAUACCAACAGAGAUACAGAAGGGGAGAGCUCAAUCAAAUCUUGACCAAAUAGCUCCAGCUGCAAAACUGCCACUGAUCAAGCAGAGCAAAGCAGCUAUGCUGUGCAAUCACUACAGUUCCAAGCCACAAGCAAAUAAAAAGAACUUCAGAGAAGGAAAAAACUAAAAACAGAACAUGGAAAGAAGUAAGAAGCUGCUCCAAGAAAGAAACCAUGGGAGGAAGAAAAGAACAGAAAGAAUGAGAAAAGGGCUCACCAAAUCCCACUCCUCCUUGUUACUCCUCCCGUGAAGAAGACGAUCCUUUUCCGGCGUAUUCCUCUCCUUCCUCCCUCCCAACUCACACCACCAGUGUGCCGCAAUGAUCCUACCAGAAAAGAGCUUUCCUUUCGCCGUUUCCUCUGCUUCUUCUUCUUCCUCGCCUCGCCCGCCGGUUGGCUUCUUGCGGCGGUGCCAGGAUAUGGCCGCCUCCUCUCUCUCCCUCUCUCUCUCUCUCUCUCUUCUGUGAAGUGUGUUGAGGCGAGCGCUGCACGCGGGGCAGCGAGCUGAGCGGCACUGCGCCACUGCGAGAGGAGCAGGAAAGCACAGGGAGGGAAGGAGGAGGCAGCACUGUGGAAAAGCUAUAGUACUACUAAUAGUGUAGUAGCACAGUAUUUCUCUUGAGGCUGAAAGGUGGGGCCCGGGGAGUCAGUGGGUGGGUGGUGCUUUUGUUGAGGUCAGGCGUCGUUUUCAAUGGGAGCAAAGUGGUGUUCCAAGGACAUUUUGGAGAAAGGGAAAGGCUUUUUUUUGUGGGAUUACAGCAGCUUAACUGGUGAAAGUCUAAGCUGCCUCGAUACGCCGAUACGGAUACGCGAUACGGUGAUAUUGAAAUACGACGUUUUUCCAUAAAUAUGGAUACGGAGAUACACGAAUAUGUAUAUAUAUAAUUAAAAAUAUAAUAAUUUUGAAUGUGGAAUAUGAAAAAAAAUUGGCAGCACAACUGCACAACAUCUUCAAGCCACCAUUCACCAAAUCACCAAUGCACAAGUCACAAAUCAAUACUAAAAAAUCUCAGCAAGUCAACAAUGCAUAAAUAAGUCCAUAACUUCAAAUUUAACUCAAUAAGUAGAUAGCAAUACUAGAUAAAUUAAAUUCAACUCACAAGAGCAGCACUCAAAAUGCUCCUUGCAUGCUCUCCCAUUGCUCAACCACUCUCACUAGUAUUACCAGUACGACUGCUAGCACUAUCACUAGCAUUCAUGCUAUUACUUUUAGAAUCAAUUUAAUGUACCAAAGCAGAUAGCAAUGUACUGAGAAAUAGUGUCGGUUUUGUUAUUUAGGGUUCUCCUGUCUCCAUACCGUAUCCUGGUGUAUCAGAGCCGUAUCGAUGUUUAUUUUAAUUAUUUGAUAAAGAAAAAAAUAGAGGAUACAUACAGAAUACGUAUCCGGUCGUAUCCGGCCGUAUCUCGCGCGUAUCUGUAUCCGGAGGCGUAUCGGAUACGGAUACGCUGCUCAGGGGACGUAUCCAGUAGGUGAAAGUUUCUCUCUUUUUCUUUCAAUUACCGCCCCCAGCUCUUCCGGUUUUCACCCAGCAGUUAAAAUAAUUUUUAGAUGGUUUAGUAUAAAGAGAAAAUUGGGCAGACAAUGCCACCGCAAAGCCUAAUAUUUAGAGUAGUAUUCAACUAUGUCAAACUAUUUGUGGGCAGUGUUCGAUACGGCUUAUUAGCCGAGUAGCUGAUUGACUUAUCGGACAAGCUUAGUAAUUAGUGUAAUUAAUUAGUUAAGUACUAGCUAUAAAAAAUUAAAGAUAUUUUUUUAAAAUUAAAGAUAUUUUUUAUUUUUUAACAACUAUAUAAAAAUAUUUUUGAAAAAUACACCAGUAGACGGUUUUGGAACCAUACCCACAUACCCACGAUAAGAUAUAAGAUAGUACUCCUAACUACAGACGGAAAAGAAUGGUGCCUUGGUAUUGUUCACUGAAUUAUUGCAAUGGAUUUUCUACUUAAUCAAUUAAAUAUUUUCGAAAAUAAACUUGACAAAUAGGUCUCAGGAGCACAGUAAAAUAUAGUUUUUAGGACAUUGUAUUUUCAGAUACAUUGAGCAAAUAAUUAAUGGCAAUAAACCAAUGGAGGAGUGUGAGAAACUGGCAGAAGAAAGUCAUUUUCUGCAAAAAAGCAGUAAGCUCAUCUCAUGUUCACAAGGUCAUUAAGAUGUGGUUGGUUAUGACUUAUGAGUGCAGAUCAAGUUUUCUUUUCUUUCUCCUGCAGCCUGCAGUAACCAUGAAAUGGUCCAAUCUAAUUUGGUCAACGACUGCACGCAGAAUCAAAAAUCGGACUACUGACAGUCUGUCCCUGCAUGCAGUACUCCUCUGGUUUGACUUCAUACUGUAAUGUACUCCUAAUACUCUAACUAAUACAUGUUUUUGUACAUUUCAGAUAACUACAUAAUCCAGAAAAUGGUUAAUGUUCAGUCCAGCCAGCCCCAUCUUGGUCAAGUGUCAGAAUAAUGCAGUCGCUGCCGAUGAUUAAUUGAUAGGGAUCUCCUAACCACUGUCGUAUAAUUUGCAUUGCCGGUUGGUAAACUAAUUGCCAGAGUAUUUUGAUGCCCGUAUAUGUCGUGUAUUGGAGCCGUCGAUAUCAUUGCACCAGCCAAAGUACUUACUUUUAAGAACUCAACACUGUAGCGUUUAUUUGGUUUAGUCGACCUGUUUUUGCAUGUGGUUCUAGUAAUGCCUCUACCUAAGUUGAUAUGAUACGAUUGAUCAUACUAUCUACUGCAAGACUGCAGACAUGUGUACACAUUUGAUAUCUUUCACAGUCUUGUAUGUACAGGUAACAUUCUGAAAUUGAAGCAAAAUAGGAUGGAUGGGAAUGGAAGUUGCAGAAGUUCACUUGAAAAGCAAGGGAACAGAUGUCCACUUUUUCUCGAAACGAAAAACGAAACUGUGCGGUUCUGAACCCAAGUGCUCGAAGGAAUAAGAGGUCAGAUUAAAAAUGGUCUCGAAAUUGUGCCAGAAAGGUAGUAGUACUGCUACAAUAUGUCAUAAUCCAUUAAUCCGGGGAAAUUGAUGUACUUGUUUAGCCUGACUUUGCUCAGUUAGCAAGGCACUGUUGUCCAAGAA